AAGGCUGAAAUUCGCCUUCAUGAAGCCGGAAUUGCUAGUAAUGGCAGGUCAGCAUACUGCCGUGAAUACGUUCCCGGGCCUUGUACACACCGCCCGUCAAACCAUGAGAGUUGGCAACACCCGAAGUCGGUAGUCUAACCGCAAGGAGGACGCCGCCGAAGGUGGGGUUGAUGAUUAGGGUUAAGUCGUAACAAGGUAAC
rnacentral:rRNA from 1 species